rnacentral:rRNA from 1 species
GUAGUCAUAUGCUUGUCUCAAAGAUUAAGCCAUGCAUGUCUAAGUAUAAGCAAUUUAUAUGUGUGAAACUGCGAAUGGCUCAUUAAAUCGGUUAUAAAGUAUUUGAUAGUGAAAGACUAUAUGGAUAGCCAUAGUAAUUCUAGAGCUAAUACAUGCGUAAAGGCCUGACUCUUCUUGGGAAAGGCUGUGUUUAUUAGAUUGAAAACCAACAGCAGUGGUAUUUAUUUACCAUUGUAUAACUUGGUGAGUCAUAAUAAAUGAGCGAAUCUUCGGUUUUUCGAAGAUGAAACAUUUCUAUUUCCGCUCUAUCAACUCUGGCGUUAAGGUAGUGGCUUAACGGAGUUUUGACGGAUAACGGAGAAUUAGGGUUCGAUUCCGGAGAGGGAGCCUGAGAAACGGCUACCACUUCUAAGGAAGGCAGCAGGCGCGAAAAUUACCCAAUCCCAAUUAUCUUGGGGAGGUAGUGACAAAAAAUAACGAUGCAGGGUUCUAACGAAUUCUGUAAUUGUAAUGGUCUGGACUCAAAACAUCCAGAGAGCAACAAUUAGAGGGCAAGUCUGGUGCCAGCAGCCGCGGUAAUUCCAGCUCUAAUAGUGUAUACUAAAAUUGCUGCAGUUAAAAAGCUCGUAGUUGGAUUUUAGGCGGAGCUGUUUGUCAAUAUGACUGGGGAUAUUUUUUCAGGUGAGGGGGGUUACUCUUGUAUCUAAAGGGAACCUAAUUAUCCUUCAUUUGAGGUAUCCUUAAUUUUAAGUCAGUCAUUUUGAUUGUUUCGCCGAGUUUUUUUCGGGUUGGUUUUGUCCUCUUUAUUGAGUGGCAAGAUUGAUUCGGAGGAUUUACUUUGAAGAAAAUGGAGUGUUCAAAGCAGGCGUUUUUGCAGCUGAACACAUUAGCAUGGAAUAAUAAAAUAAGACAUCGGGGAUUGUUUUUUCCGGCUGGCUAAGGUUCGUCUCCAAUUGAUUUCUAUUUCUUCAUCUUCUUUUAUCAGGAUUUUUCAUUUUUGGUCUUUUCUUAGGUCAGGAUGAAGUCUUGAUGGGGGUUGAAGAUGGAAAUGAGUUGGGAUCUAGAAAGGUCAGUUCGGGGGCAGUCUACAGUAAUGUAUUCGUUUUGUUGGUUCAUGGAGUUGAUGUAAUGAUUAAUAGGAAUAGUCGGGGAUAUCCGUAUUGCAUUGUCAGAGGUGAAAUUCUUGGAUUUAUGCAAGACGAACUAGUGCGAAAGCAUUUAUCAAGGAUGUUUUCAUUAAUCAAGAACGAAAGUAAGGGGAUCGAAGACGAUCAGAAACCGUUGUAGUCCUUGCCAUAAACUAUACCGUCUAAGGAUCGGUGGUUGUCAGAUUUUAGGACUCCUCCGGCACUUUUAGAGAAAUCAGAAGUCUCUGGGUUCUGGGGGGAGUAUGGUCGCAAGGCUGAAACUUAAAGAAAUUGACGGAAGGGCACCACCAGGUGUGGAGCCUGCGGCUUAAUWUGACUCAACACGGGGAAACUUACCAGGUCCGGACGCGGGAAGGAUUGACAGAUUGAUAGCUCUUUCUUGAUUCCGUGGGUGGUGGUGCAUGGUCGUUCUUAGUUGGUGGAGUGAUUUGUCUGGUUAAUUCCGAUAACGAACGAGACCUCAACCUACUAAAUAGCCAGGUUUCAAGUUUUAAUAAGGAAGAGGAGGUUAUAUGGGGCAACUCAUGUGAUUUUCUUCUUUCUUGCUUGAGACUACAAAUUUUAUGGUUUCUUCUUAGGGGGACUACCGUAUUUUUUUUAAACGGGGGAAGCAUGAGGCAAUAACAGGUCUGUGAUGCCCUUAGAUGUCCUGGACCGCACGCGCGCUACAAUGAUGCAGUCAACGAGCUUGUCCUGUCCCGAAAGGGUUGGGUAAUCUUUUGAAACUGCAUCGUACUGGGGAUUGAUCUUUGUAAUUCUGGAUCAUGAACAAGGAAUACCUAGUAGGUACGGUUCAUCAGAUCGUGCCGAUUACGUCCCUGCCCUUUGUACACACCGCCCGUCGCUCCUACCGAUGAUUGUUCAGAUGAAAUGCUCGGAUUGUGCGGUUGUGGCUGCCCAAAAGGUGGUCGCUUACUGCUCUGGAGAAGAGUAGUGAAUCUUAACACUUAGAGGAAGGAGAAGUCGUAACAAG